rnacentral:rRNA from 1 species
AAUGAGACUGCCGGUGACAAACCGGAGGAAGUGGGGAUGACGUCAAGUCCUCAUGGCCCUUAUAGGUGGGGCUACACACGUCAUACAAUGGCUGGUACAAAGGGUUGCCAACCGCAGGGGGAGCCAAUCCCAUAAAGCCAGUCGUAGUCCGGAUCGCAGUCUGCAACUCGACUGCGUGAAGUCGGAAUCGCUAGUAAUCGUGGAUCAGCAUGUCACGGUGAAUACGUUCCCGGGUCUU